rnacentral:rRNA from 1 species
CAACGCCGCGUGAGUGAUGAAGGCCUUCGGGUUGUAAAACUCUGUCUUUGGGGACGAUAAUGACGGUACCCAAGGAGGAAGCCACGGCUAACUACGUGC